GUUGGUUGGGAGGUUGGGAGGUCGGGAGGUCGGUCGGUCGGUCGGUCGGUCGGUCGGUCGGUCGAUAAGUCUGUCUGUCUGUCU
ensembl:miRNA